rnacentral:sRNA from 1 species
UUGUUUUUAAUAUUUUACAAACAUAAUGAUUGUAUAAACCAAAUAUUAUUAUUCAAUAUAAUGGUGUACAUGAUGGUGUACAUAAUUAAGUUACUCUUAAUGGUGUACAAAAUGAUUGAAAUUAUUAUGACGAUUGGUGGAUAGAAUGAUAUAUACAACUUUUAAAUGAUAACAUACAAGAUUGGUAGACAAAGUGUACAAAACUUGGUGUACACUUAUAGAGAAUGUAUAAAUCAUUAUUUCAAUUAGUGGUGUACAUCAUCUCGUACACCAAUGUUAGUACACUGUCUCAUAGAUUUUUAAAGGUGUAAGAUUAUAUACACCAUAUUUUCAUCAUCUAUGUACAUCAUUUUGUAUACUGUUAUAUUCAGUGUAUCAUUUUCUACAUCAGUAAUUAUAUAUUAAUUUUUACGUUAUUGUUGUAUACUACCAUUAGUACACCAAUUUUAACAAUAUCACGUACACCGUCGACUGAGAUUAAAUAAAAAAUGCUACAUAUUUUUGAAAUAUAGCAAAAUUAGACUUUUUAGAUUCACAUAAAAUUUUUAAGAACUAAUAUGAUUAUGUGGUAAAUUUUUAUGAAGAAAUAUCAUCAAAUAAAGUAAAAAUAAAAAGUAAGAUUUGAUUUGAGUUUUAUCUUUAUCUUACUACAUAACAAAAUAACAAAAGGUUAUAUAAGUCAUUUACUAAAAUCUCUAUUAGGCAAAAAGUUGUAUUAGAGAGGAAAGAGAAAAGUGUCUAUUUCUCAUAUGUUUAAAAAAACUACCUAUUUUGCAAAUUAUUUGUAGAAAAAGUGUCUACUUUCCAACUUAUCUCUAUUAUAAAAGCCCCGAUCAAAGUGCAGAUAUCAACAAAAAUAAAAUUGUGGAAUGGGUGUAUAUAUUUUUGUUGCAAUAUCUUUUAUGUAAUGCAUUUGCAACAUCUUUUACCUAUACUUCUCGUGUUUGUGUGUUUACUCUCUUUUAUGUCAAGAAGUGAAUGUGUCAAUCUCGUAACA